UUCCCAGGUUAUCUCCUUCUCAGCCCAGCCGCCUGCCCCCAUCUGCCUUCCAAGAAGUCAUCCAGGCAGAACCAAACAUGCAGGGGAAGCUCCCAGUCAGCCUUGAACUUGAAGGCUUUGCUCCCAGGAUGGACUCUCUGAACACUCCAGCCAGAACCUUCUCCAAAUCUAGGCCUGGAGCUCCUGUUCUUUGUCCAGGAGGGCAGAGGUUACGCUCUUGGCUGAAAGGCAGAUUCGUUACCAUCUGAGCCACCAGGGAUGCAAAAAGACAUACAGAAAGAUUUAAAGAGUUGGUUCCCACAAUGCUGGAGUAUCACGGAGGCAGACAAGUCCAAAAACUGCAGGAUGGACCAGCAGGUUGGAGAAUCAGAAAAAGCCAAUUCAAUAGCCAGUUCAAGUCUGAGAACCAUCUGCUGGCAAAAUUCACCCUUGCUCAGAGGAGCACGGAAAAUGGACAUUUCUAGCACAUUUAAAGAGAAACAGAGAAGCGAUGCUGACCCCGUGCCAGGACCACCGAGCAGGCACGGGGGUCACAGUGACACGACAGUCCUGCAAAGCCACUGCCGGUUCACGUGUCUGCAGGCACAUCGAUAUUAAGAACCCCUGGGGACAACAUGAUACACGCAGUCACCAAUCACUGUAAUCCUCCUAGAUUUCAUGUUAAUUGAAUAUGAGUAUAAAAUUCUUUUCUCAC
ensembl:lncRNA